CACUGCCGAGAAAAGCCUCUAGAUAGAAAAUAGGUGCCCGUACCGCAAACCGACACAGGUAGUCAAGAUGAGAAUUCUAAGGUGAGCGAGCGAACUCUCGUUAAGGAACUCGGCAAAAUGACCCCGUAACUUCGGGAGAAGGGGUGCUCUUUAGGGUUAACGCCCAGAAGAGCCGCAGUGAAUAGGCCCAAGCGACUGUUUAUCAAAAACACAGGUCUCUGCUAAACCGUAAGGUGAUGUAUAGGGGCUGACGCCUGCCCGGUGCUGGAAGGUUAAGAGGAGUGGUUAGCUUCUGCGAAGCUACGAAUCGAAGCCCCAGUAAACGGCGGCCGUAACUAUAACGGUCCUAAGGUAGCGAAAUUCCUUGUCGGGUAAGUUCCGACCC
rnacentral:rRNA from 1 species